CCCUUGUCAAAGAAUAUGGAUCGACAACUAAAACAAUGUGAAAUGUGAUUUUUUUAAAGUUGUAACUGUAAAUUAACCAUUACACAUGCACAUGCAACCUCAGACUUGGGAGAGGCAAUGUACCCCCAAAAUAGCAUGAGGUAGGCUAUAUCAACCGCGCGUGAGUAAAGCUAAUUAUAGCGCAUAUAGAGCAACAUAAAAACAGUUCGCAGAUAAAGUUUGUACUGAGUAUUCAGUCGUAAAUAUCUUUGUAAAUUAAACUCGUCAAUGAUAGUCUCUAAACAGGCAUUGGCGUUUCGGAGUGAAACAGUAAAAAUCUCAGCAUGAGUACAUGGAGUCUCAUUGAGACAUAAAUGUGAAAUGUAAAAGCGAUAAAGAUGGUUUUCUCUGAUGAUUCAGAAGAAGUUCAAAAGCCCUUGACAAUCAUCUUUCGAAAGUAAUAAAUUGGACGGGUAAAUUGCAUGUAACGAAAUUGCUAAGUUGUUAAGACAAAUUGUUAUCGAGUUCCACUACUUUACGUCCAUUGUCAUGUCUACCGGUAUAUGAUAGUUUUCAUUUCUUUACUUAAUAUCAAUAACAAUGUGGAAUCGGCGGUAGAAGACAGCAACAAAAUAACGUGGCACACAUCAGAGCCAAUAGCCCAGUUUCAGCUUCCUGUCUCCGCUGAUAUUCGUCGCUGUAAAUAUAGACAACAGGUCGGUUGGAAAAUCCUCCAGGUGGGUAAGGUUGUUCCACAUAGAACCCUUCUCGAACAUACACCGGAGGAGCUGCUGGAUAAUAAUAGGCCGUAUGCGGAUUGGAAGGAUGUGGCUGUUGAUUCAUUGCCCACAGAUAUAUAGAUACUUUAAUAAUGACUAGUUGAUUCCCCUUGUUCCACG